rnacentral:rRNA from 1 species
GCCUUAGUACGGCGAGUGAGCGGCAAAGCUCAAUUUGAAUCUGGUACCUUCGGUGCCCGAGAUUGUAAUUUGGAGAGGGCAACUUUGGGGCCGUUCCUUGUCUAUGUUCCUUGGAACAGGACGUCAUAGAGGGUGAGAAUCCCGUGUGGCGAGGAGUGCGGUUCUUUGUAAAGUGCCUUCGAAGAGUCGAGUUGUUUGGGAAUGCAGCUCUAAGUGGGUGGUAAAUUCCAUCUAAAGCUAAAUAUUGGCGAGAGACCGAUAGCGAACAAGUACAGUGAUGGAAAGAUGAAAAGAACUUUGAAAAAAAGAAGUGAAAA